rnacentral:rRNA from 1 species
UGGCGGACGGGUGAGUAAUGUCUGGGAAACUGCCUGAUGGAGGGGGAGUAACUACUGGAAACGGUAGCUAAUACCGCAUAACGUCGCAAGACCAAAGAGGGGGACCUUCGGGCCUCCUGCCAUCGGAUGUGCCCAGAUGGGAUUAGCUAGUAGGUGGGGUAACGGCUCACCUAGGCGACGAUCCCUAGCUGGUCUGAGAGGAUGACCAGCCACACUGGAACUGAGACACGGUCCAGACUCCUACGGGAGGCAGCAUG